rnacentral:tRNA from 1 species
GGAGAGGUGGCUGAGCGGUCGAAAGCGGCGGAUUGCUAAUCCGUUGAAGGGGUAUUGCCUCUUCCCCGGGUUCGAAUCCCGGCCUCUCCGCCA